CAGACCUCUAAUCGGAAAAGACUACCCGCUGAGUUUAAGCAUAUCAAUAAGCG
rnacentral:rRNA from 1 species